rnacentral:rRNA from 1 species
UAGGGAAUCUUCCACAAUGGACGCAAGUCUGAUGGAGCAACGCCGCGUGAGUGAAGAAGGUUUUCGGAUCGUAAAGCUCUGUUGUUAGGUGAAGAAGGAUAGAGGUAGUAACUGGCCUUUAUUUGACGGUAAUCAACCAGAAAGUCACGGCUAACUACGUGCCAG